rnacentral:rRNA from 1 species
UACGUAGGGUGCAAGCGUUGUCCGGAAUUAUUGGGCCUAAAGCAUCCGUAGCCGGUUCUACAAGUCUUCCGUUAAAUCCAGCUGCUUAACAGAUGGGCUGCGGAAGAUACUAUGGAGCUAGGAGGCGGGAGAGGCAAGCGGUACUCGAUGGGUAGGGGUAAAAUCCGUUGAUCCAUUGAAGACCACCAGCGGCGAAGGCGGCUUGCCAGAACGCGCUCGACGGUGAGGGAUGAAAGCUGGGGGAGCAAACCGG